rnacentral:rRNA from 1 species
ACGUAGGGAGCCAGCGUUGUCCGGAUUUACUGGGCGUAAAGAGCGCGUAGGCGGUUUGGUACGCGGAGGGUGAAAUACCGGGGCUCAACUCCGGUGCUGCUCUCCGAACGGCCAGACUAGAGUACGGGAGAGGGUAGUGGAAUUCCUGGUGUAGCGGUGGAAUGCGUAAAUAUCAGGAAGAACACCCGUGGCGAAGGCUGCUACCUGGAACGUUACUGACGCUGAGGCGCGAAAGCUAGGGGAGCGAACGG